AUCCAGCUGAUGAGUCUCAAAUAGAACAGAACUUGCGUCCUGGAU
rnacentral:hammerhead_ribozyme from 1 species